rnacentral:rRNA from 1 species
UUGACCUCGGAUCAGGUAGGGAUACCCGUCCUGAACUUAAGCAUAUCAAUAAGCGGAGGAA